rnacentral:rRNA from 1 species
UAAUACCGGAUAGAUCAAAGAUACUGGAAUGUUCUCUGGUCCAAAACUCCGGUGCCCGAGGAUGGGUCUGCGGCCUAUCAGGUUGUAGUGGGUGUAACGUACCUACUAGCCGACGAGGGGUAAGGGUUGUGAGAGCAAGAUCCCUGAGAUGGAUUCUGAGACAUGAAUCCAGGCCCUACGGGGUGCAGCAGGCGCGAAACCUUUACACUGCGGGAAACCGCGAUAAGGGGACCCCGAGUGCCUGCAUCUAGUGCUGGCUGUCCAGCUGUUCAAAUAACAGUUGUUAGCAAGGGCCGGGCAAGACCGGUGCCAGCCGCCGCGGUAACACCGGCGGCCCGAGUGGUAGCCGUUAUUAUUGGGUUUAAAGGGUCCGUAGCCGGCCUAUUAAGUCUCUUGGGAAAUCUGGCGACUCAAUCGUCAGGCGUCC